AUUCAGUUGAGGGAUAGAAA
rnacentral:misc_RNA from 1 species